rnacentral:rRNA from 1 species
UUAAGCGACUAAGCGUACACGGUGGAUGCCCUGGCAGUCAGAGGCGAUGAAGGACGUGCUAAUCUGCGAUAAGCGUCGGUAAGGUGAUAUGAACCGUUAUAACCGGCGAUUUCCGAAUGGGGAAACCCAGUGUGAUUCGUCACACUAUCAUUAACUGAAUCCAUAGGUUAAUGAGGCGAACCGGGGGAACUGAAACAUCUAAGUACCCCGAGGAAAAGAAAUCAACCGAGAUUCCCCCAGUAGCGGCGAGCGAACGGGGAGCAGCCCAGAGCCUGAAUCAGUGUGUGUGUUAGUGGAAGCGUCUGGAAAGGCGCGCGAUACAGGGUGACAGCCCCGUACACAAAAAUGCACAUGCUGUGAGCUCGAUGAGUAGGGCGGGACACGUGGUAUCCUGUCUGAAUAUGGGGGGACCAUCCUCCAAGGCUAAAUACUCCUGACUGACCGAUAGUGAACCAGUACCGUGAGGGAAAGGCGAAAAGAACCCCGGCGAGGGGAGUGAAAAAGAACCUGAAACCGUGUACGUACAAGCAGUGGGAGCACGCUUAGGCGUGUGACUGCGUACCUUUUGUAUAAUGGGUCAGCGACUUAUAUUCUGUAGCAAGGUUAACCGAAUAGGGGAGCCGAAGGGAAACCGAGUCUUAACUGGGCGUUAAGUUGCAGGGUAUAGACCCGAAACCCGGUGAUCUAGCCAUGGGCAGGUUGAAGGUUGGGUAACACUAACUGGAGGACCGAACCGACUAAUGUUGAAAAAUUAGCGGAUGACUUGUGGCUGGGGGUGAAAGGCCAAUCAAACCGGGAGAUAGCUGGUUCUCCCCGAAAGCUAUUUAGGUAGCGCCUCGUGAAUUCAUCUCCGGGGGUAGAGCACUGUUUCGGCAAGGGGGUCAUCCCGACUUACCAACCCGAUGCAAACUGCGAAUACCGGAGAAUGUUAUCACGGGAGACACACGGCGGGUGCUAACGUCCGUCGUGAAGAGGGAAACAACCCAGACCGCCAGCUAAGGUCCCAAAGUCAUGGUUAAGUGGGAAACGAUGUGGGAAGGCCCAGACAGCCAGGAUGUUGGCUUAGAAGCAGCCAUCAUUUAAAGAAAGCGUAAUAGCUCACUGGUCGAGUCGGCCUGCGCGGAAGAUGUAACGGGGCUAAACCAUGCACCGAAGCUGCGGCAGCGACGCUUAUGCGUUGUUGGGUAGGGGAGCGUUCUGUAAGCCUGCGAAGGUGUGCUGUGAGGCAUGCUGGAGGUAUCAGAAGUGCGAAUGCUGACAUAAGUAACGAUAAAGCGGGUGAAAAGCCCGCUCGCCGGAAGACCAAGGGUUCCUGUCCAACGUUAAUCGGGGCAGGGUGAGUCGACCCCUAAGGCGAGGCCGAAAGGCGUAGUCGAUGGGAAACAGGUUAAUAUUCCUGUACUUGGUGUUACUGCGAAGGGGGGACGGAGAAGGCUAUGUUGGCCGGGCGACGGUUGUCCCGGUUUAAGCGUGUAGGCUGGUUUUCCAGGCAAAUCCGGAAAAUCAAGGCUGAGGCGUGAUGACGAGGCACUACGGUGCUGAAGCAACAAAUGCCCUGCUUCCAGGAAAAGCCUCUAAGCAUCAGGUAACAUCAAAUCGUACCCCAAACCGACACAGGUGGUCAGGUAGAGAAUACCAAGGCGCUUGAGAGAACUCGGGUGAAGGAACUAGGCAAAAUGGUGCCGUAACUUCGGGAGAAGGCACGCUGAUAUGUAGGUGAAGUCCCUCGCGGAUGGAGCUGAAAUCAGUCGAAGAUACCAGCUGGCUGCAACUGUUUAUUAAAAACACAGCACUGUGCAAACACGAAAGUGGACGUAUACGGUGUGACGCCUGCCCGGUGCCGGAAGGUUAAUUGAUGGGGUCAGCGCAAGCGAAGCUCUUGAUCGAAGCCCCGGUAAACGGCGGCCGUAACUAUAACGGUCCUAAGGUAGCGAAAUUCCUUGUCGGGUAAGUUCCGACCUGCACGAAUGGCGUAAUGAUGGCCAGGCUGUCUCCACCCGAGACUCAGUGAAAUUGAACUCGCUGUGAAGAUGCAGUGUACCCGCGGCAAGACGGAAAGACCCCGUGAACCUUUACUAUAGCUUGACACUGAACAUUGAGCCUUGAUGUGUAGGAUAGGUGGGAGGCUUUGAAGUGUGGACGCCAGUCUGCAUGGAGCCGACCUUGAAAUACCACCCUUUAAUGUUUGAUGUUCUAACGU